CACGUAGGGCGCAAGCGUUGUCCGGAAUUAUUGGGCGUAAAGAGCUCGUAGGCGGUCUGUUGCGUCCGCUGUGAAAACUCGGGGCUUAACCCCGAGCCUGCAGUGGAUACGGGCAGACUAGAGGUAGGUAGGGGAGAAUGGAAUUCCCGGUGUAGCGGUGAAAUGCGCAGAUAUCGGGAGGAACACCGGUGGCGAAGGCGGUUC
rnacentral:rRNA from 1 species